CUUCCUCAGCCCAAUAACCGGUCCCCUCUCCCUCAGGCCUCAGGUCCCGGUCUGGCCAUCUCCCACUCGUCCCGUUCGGCAGCUCCCGACCCCGAGCCCUCCCGAGGGCACCGCUGGCCGCCGCCAGCCCACCACCCGCGCCUCCCGCCGCAGGCUGCCUGCCGCACUGCGCGUCUCUGCCCGUGGGUCGUGGCCCCUGCGCCUCCCCGCCGGCGCCGGGCGCUGCAGCAAGGGCACGCGGCCGCCGCAAACCUGGCGUGCCGGCUGCUCCCGCCGUCACGCGCGGCCGCACGCCAGCUGGCGUCCCGACCCUUCCAAUUGCAAUCCCCUCACCGAGUCACUGUGGUUUAGAUUCAGUUCCAGUUGUGGAUGAUAGUUCAACUGAAAAUGACGAGUCAAUUGAAGUUGAAGAAGAACCAGAAUCAGUGGAUGAAGGGCUGCCUGAAGAAGGAGAAUCACCAGUUCAUGGUGCCGGUUCUCUUCCCCUUGAACAUGAUCCAGGCUUAAGGCUGCCCAUUUCAAGUUUUGAUGUCAAUGAACAAGAUGCAGCUAGAAGAGGGUACAUUCCGAAAGGUACAUUCCAACCACAUGCCCAUGAGUAUCCAAUCACCACAAUUUACAGUAAAGAUCGUUGUUUUAGUCUUCUUUGAUUCUAUAACUAAACUAACCUUGGAUUGAAUAUAGUGUUGAGAAGGAUGCAACAUUUUGUUUUACAUAUGUUAUUUGUUUAGCAAAGAAAUUGGAAAUUUUGUUACUGGUGGUUGGAACAAUUGGAAUGUGGGAUCUUUUUAUUUAUGUUAUUUUAAAUUUGAUCAUAUUGUUGCCAAAGUGCUAUUAGAGUAUACCGGAUUACGCUUUGAAAUUUUGUGCCAGGACUACCCUAGUUUUAAUUCCUGCUAUUAGAAUAUACCAUAUUGUCCACCACUGGCUGCAGCGCCCAAAUGCUAGUGUCCUGUCUCAUCGGCGGCAUCGUGCUGAUUCGCCAUGGUGCUCGCGCUCCACCUCGCGGGCCCCAGUGAGCAUCUACAUGGACGGAUGCUUCGACAUGAAGCACUACGGCCACUGCAGGGACGAGCUCAUCGUCGGCUUCAUCAGCGACGACGAGAUCAAGGCCAACAAGAAGCAGAACGAGAAGGAAGCCAGUGAGAAGAAGUACUACGACAGUAAAAGCUUUGUCAAUGGGGAGUAAGUUACGGUGAAGAUGUUGCCUAGAUCAUUUGAGAUUCCAAGCUUUCUUCAUAAACGCAGCAGGUCUAGAGCUUUACCAUCUUUUCAACAUGUUUGAUGCUUUGCUAAUAUAACUUAGGGAGCAUCAGGUGCAUCAUGGAUGAGUGAUUCGCAGAGGCAAUUAAUUGGGCUAAGGCUAGAAGCAUUUCCAUCAUUUCUCCAUUGUCUCCAGCCUAUUUUUCCCCUGUAUAUGCGCCGCCUUUGAGUUGUCUGUUGUUUCCGGCUGAGUUCCAUUUGAGAUAUGCAGGUUU